rnacentral:rRNA from 1 species
CCUACGGGGAGGCAGCAGUGGGGAAUAUUGGGCAAUGGGCGCAAGCCUGACCCAGCAACGCCGCGUGAAGGAAGAAGGCUUUCGGGUUGUAAACUUCUUUUCUGAGGGACGAAGAAAGUGACGGUACCACAGGAAUAAGCAACGACUAACUACGUGCCAGCAGCCGCGGUAAUACGUAGGGGGAAAGCGUUAUCCGGAUUUAUUGGGUGUAAAGGGCGUGUAGGCGGGAAAGCAAGUCAGCUGUGAAAACUCUGGGCUCAACCCCUAGCCUGCCGUUGAAACUGGUUUUCUUGAGUGCUGGAGAGGCAAGCGGAAUUCCGGGUGUAGCGGUGAAAUGCGUAGAUAUACGGAGGAACACCAGUGGCGAAGGCGGAUUACUGGACAGUAACUGACGCUGAGGCGCGAAAGCGUGGGGAGCAAACAGGAUUAGAUACCCCUGUAGUC